rnacentral:tRNA from 1 species
GGGAAGAUAGCUCAGUGGUAGAGCGCUUGCCUUGCAAGCAUGAGGCCCUGGGUUCGUUUCCUUA